AAAAGCAGGUUGGUGGAUCACGCACUUUGCUAUCUUUCGAUCCUUUUCAAUUCAAUUAAAUUAAUUUUGUCCUUCCUUCUGAACUCACACUUGACAACACUAACAAGAAAGCUAUAAACAACGCACAUAUACAUUUAAUAAGUAUCUUCCCAAAGGGAAUACUUCCUUAAACAGCCCGCAAUUAAUCUCCCACUAUAUUCUUCAUUCCCAGAUUUUUUUUAUCUGUAUCGAUCUUGACCUUGAUGAUUUCUUGGACAUAGUUGGAAAAUAGACAAAUUAUAAAAAGAAUAAACAGAAAAAACCUAAUUUUGAUCAUUCUUGAUCUUUUGAUGAAGAUGAUGAUGGAAGAAAAGGUACAAUUUUGAUGUUGAUGUGAAAUGGAUCUGAAACCCUAAAAAACCAUCAGUUUUGGAACUCAAGACAAAAAAAAUUGCUUCAUUUUUCACCAAGGGGAAGUGCUGUUGAAGGAACCAGUAGCUGAUUGAUCAUUGACGGAAUUGCAAAGACAGACUUUUUUGUGGAGUAGUUACUGCCUACUUAGCUGAUAAAUACUCAUAUUAUCUAUUGAAACAUGCAUGCCAGAUAUCGCAAUCCGGUAAAUAGGAAUAGGUCUAGUUCAAUGGGGUUUGGAGAUGUGGGGGCUUCGCCUGAGCGAUUCGUGAGAGGUCGGGGUGAGUACAGAAACUAUAACCGUGUGGUUUUUGGGCGUGGCCAGUCAAAGCAGUUCGCAAUGCCACAUGGAAAUGAAAUUUUCAUGGAAGCUGGACGGUUAGCGGCUGAGUACCUUGUUUCCAAGGGGUUAUUGCCGCCAAGUGCUCUUUCUGGGAAGUAUCAAAAUGGUAGCUUAAAGAACCCGGUCGGAGAAUUUCAGGGGUUUAGGUCACAGGAGGCUGAUUUUAUGCGGGUCUCUGUGGAAGGUCGAAUAUUAGGAGGUGAUGUAGGCCAUGGUAGGAAAGGUUUUCCUGAUGAAUAUAACUCAAUGGGUUCAAGAAGCUCUAUGAGAGAAAGGAGAAGAAAUGGAACCGUUAAAAGUUAUGGCUCUGAGUUCAAUCGAGAAUUAGGAAGAAGUGGGUCGUGGAAUAGAGUCAGAAACUCUCCUGAUGUGGAUGGUCUAGAUAAUGCUUUUACUGGGAAUAGAGAUGAACAGCAAGUAGCUAAGGAUAGUGAUGGGGUGUUGCAAAAUUCUCCUCCCAGGAAAAUAAAUCAUGAAAUUGAAAGUUCAGGCAACUCACUGGUUGAUUCGGAGCCUGCAGGCCAAAACAAGGCAGAGGAUGAUGCCGGUAAAAAGGCAAGUCCUAUUAGCAGUGCAAAUAAUCUUUCAUCAGAGGAUGAACGACAACAUAAUGAGGACUGUGUUGAAAUUGACGCCUCAAAAAUAGAAGUUGACCAGGUUGAUGAUGCAGGUAAAAAGGCAAGUCUUAUUAGCACUGCAACUAAUCUUCCACCAAAGGAUGAACGACAAAAUAAUGAGAAGUGUGUUGAAAUUGAAGCCUCAAAAAUAGAAAUUGAUCAGGUUGAUGAAAACAACAGUAAUGGUGAUUUGGAGAGAAAAGCUGCCAAGGACAUAGCAGAUAAGCAGCCGAGCAAGAGUAGUAAUGAUUUACUUAGUUUCUGGAGGUUUAAGCAGGUUCCCAAAAAGACUCGCUCUUCAUUGGCAAAUAGAGUUCUGAAGGUUUGUGAUAAUGCAGUAAUCGAAGAUGAGAACUCCCGUGAGAUGGAGAUUCCAAAGGAUACUCAAAAGCACUCAGAAGUGAACCAUGUGGAUGUUUCCCCUGGUGUAAUUUCAUCUCCUCAUAGUCAUGAUGCACGAAACCUUGAUUCUGGCAAGUCAGAACCUCUUGAUUUGGAGGAAGAAUCAUGUUGUUCUCACGUCAUUAAACAGGUAAAUGAGAUGGGUUCCUCGUCUUUUGGAGACAGCAUGGUAAUAAAGAAGGGUGAAACAAUUCUGGAGUUACCUGGAUUUGAAAGUUGCAGUUCUAUUAACUUGGAAAGAGGAGAGAAACGAGCAGUAGAGCAUGAUGAUGACUUUACAGUGGGAACUAAGAAACCUAGAGAAUUGGCUUCAUCAAUGUGUGCUCUCUCAGAUGGUAUUCUGUACCAUUCUAACUCCAUGGACGACUGGCCGAAUUCACAUGAACCGGAUGAGAAGAAGUUGGUUGACGUUCCUCUGAUUACCAAGAGUGACAUGGAGCCAGGCACUGACUUUACGGAAAAACAACUUUUUCCAGGCUCCUUGAAAACUUGUGACCUCAAUCUCUUGGAAGCUUCUGAUGUGAAUGAGACUCAAAAUGCUGAUCCUGUUCAUAUCUUCCCAGGGAUAACUGGAAGUGUAAAACAAGAAGCACCAGUUGAUUUUGAUCUGACCAUAAGUAAUAACUGCGAUACAGCUAGUAAAUAUGCUAAAUCUGGCUUUGAUGAUAUUGACAUUGAGGUGAUUGAUUUGGAAAAUGAUUUUGAACAAGAAGACAAGGCUUUAAAUAAUCCAGAGACAAGGUCUGAAGUUGUAUUUACUGGAUCAGAUGGUUUUUCUAAUAACCCACAUGGUACCGACAAUAUUCCUGAUGUUCAUGACGGUUAUGGACUGAUGAUAUCAGAAUUGCUUGGGAAUGAUAUACCAAGCUGUUCUUCUGUACCAGAAAAUAUGAGUUCUUUACACAGUGAUAUGGGCCUGCAUAAUGGAGAGGGAAUGCUUGGCGAUGAUGAUUCGAUAUAUAUGUCUUUGGGAGAAAUACCGAUAAGUAUGCUAAAGAUCUUUUCUCAUGCGUUUGAAUCUGAUCUUACUAUUUGAGGGUGUUUUUGGAGGAAAUCCUGUGUGUUCGGAGACAUGGUUGUUCCAUGAUCCAACCUAUAUUAUGGCCUUCUGAGGGCCUGGGAGCAGCAGACACAAGAAUUCGGUAAGCCAUUUUAAGUUAUUACCUCUCCAGGUUUUCGUGAAAUAUAGUAUGCAAUAAUCAUCUGUAUAGCUAAUUUUAGUUGUCAAAGAUUAGGUCUAUGCUACAGCAACUUCAUCUAUACUUAAUGGCUGAUGUAAGUACCAUCCCCCCGCCCCUCCCUCCCUCUUCUCCUCUUCUUCUCUGUUGAAGGGACGUAGUCAAAUGUAUUUUCUUUACUCCUUUUCUGUUUCGCUCUUUUUUAGUUUUAUUACACAGUUGGCCACUCUUGAUUAAAAGAUUAGCAGUCAAGUACUUCCCUGA